rnacentral:rRNA from 1 species
UAGGGAAUCUUCCGCAAUGGGCGAAAGCUUGACGGAGCAACGCCGCGUGAGUGAUGAAGGUCUUCGGAUCGUAAAACUCUGUUAUUAGGGAAGAACAAAUGUGUAAGUAACUAUGCACGUCUUGACGGUACCUAAUCAGAAAGCCACGGCUAACUACGUGCCAGCAGCCGCGGUAAUACGUAGGUGGCAAGCGUUAUCCGGAAUUAUUGGGCGUAAAGCGCGCGUAGGCGGUUUUUUAAGUCUGAUGUGAAAGCCCACGGCUCAACCGUGGAGGGUCAGUGGAAGCUGGAAAACUUGAGUGCAGAAGAGGAAAGUGGAAUUCCAUGUGUAGCAGUGAAAUGCGCAGAGAUAUGGAGGAACACCAGUGGCGAAGGCGACUUUCUGGUCUGUAGCUGACGCUGAUGUGCGAAAGCGUGGGGAUCAAACAGG